rnacentral:rRNA from 1 species
CACGUAGGCACCAAGCGUUGUCCGGAUUUAUUGGGCGUAAAGAGCUCGUAGGCGGUUCAGUAAGUCGGGUGUGAAAACUUUGGGCUUAACCCAAAGCGUGCAUCUGAUACUGCUGUGACUUGAGUUCGGUAGGGGAGUGGGGAAUUCCUAGUGUAGCGGUGGAAUGCGCAGAUAUUAGGAGGAACACCGGUGGCGAAGGCGCCACUCUGGGCCGAAACUGACGCUGAGGAGCGAAAGCAUGGGUAGCAAACAGG